GUNGUAGUUAAGGUGAUGGCUUAACUAGCCAAAAACUCUCGUAGUCGAAGCUGAAAGGUUGAUCGACCACAUUGGGUCUGAAAAAACCCCAAUGCAAGUUAGUACAGCAGUGAGGAAUCUUGGUCAAUGGCCUAACGGCUGAACUGGCAACUUGGAGAAGUGGCAAGUCUUAUUUUGAUUAUAUUACAAUAUAUAAUCUAUAAGAUUGUAUUAAAAUUGAAUAAAGCUUUGUUUAUAUAUUGAUAAUGACAGUAUAUAUAUCGUGUCUUGACUAAUUACGUGCCAGCAGUCGCGGUAAUACGUAAGAGACUAGUGUUAUUCAUCUUGAUUAGGUUUAAAGGGUACCUAGACGGUCAAUAUAUCUUCUAAAAUGUUAGUACUUGACUAGAGUUUGAUAUAAGAGGGCAGUACUUGAGGAGGAGAGAUGAAAUUCUAUUAUACCAAAGGGACUCGGUAAAGGCGAAGGCAGCCCUCUAUGUAAAAACUGACGUUGAAGGACGAAGGCACAGAGCACAAACAGGAUUAGAUACCCANGUAGUCUUUGCAGUAAAUGAUGAAUGCCAUAGGUUAAUUAA
rnacentral:rRNA from 1 species